rnacentral:tRNA from 1 species
GGCUUGGUAGCUCAGUGGUAGAGCAGAGGACUGAAAAUCCUCGUGUCGGUGGUUCAAUCCCGCCCCAAGCCAC